rnacentral:rRNA from 1 species
AUUGAACGCUUGCGGCAUGCCUUACACAUGCAAGUCGAACGGUAACAGGUUAAGCUGACGAGUGGCGAACGGGUGAGUAAUAUAUCGGAACGUGCCCAGUCGUGGGGGAUAACUGCUCGAAAGAGCAGCUAAUACCGCAUACGACCCGAGUGUGAAAGCGGGGGAUCGCAAGACCUCGCGCGAUUGGAGCGGCCGAUAUCAGAUUAGGUAGUUGGUGGGGUAAGAGCCCACCAACCCAACGACCUGUGGCUGGUCAGAGAGGACGAACACGCACACUGGGACUAAGACACGGCCCAGACUCCUACGGGAGGCAGCAGUGGGGAAUUUUGGACAAUGGGCGCAAGCCUGAUCCAGCCAUGCCGCGUGCGGGAAGAAGGCCUUCGGGUUGUAAACCGCUUUUGUCAGGGAAGAAAAGGUUCUGGUUAAUACCUGGGACUCAUGACGGUACCUGAAGAAUAAGCACCGGCUAACUACGUGCCAGCAGCCGCCGUAA